ACCCUGGUUUAGUCACUUUCACUGCAUUAAUCAAUGCAUUUGUAAAAAGAGGGAAAAGCAUUGAAAUUGUGUAAGGAGAUGGAUAUGAUCCGAUUGUUUUUAUCUGUUGUUUAUCAAUUUACUAUUAUUCACUGAUCGAUUUGAUUUAAUUAGAUUUCGCAUGA
rnacentral:precursor_RNA from 1 species